GAUCCGCCCGCCUCGGCCUCCCAAAGUGCUGGGAUUACAGGCGUGAGCCACUGCGACCGGCCUGAGUACUGUUCUUUUUGCACUUGAAGCAGCCACAGGUGUUUUGUUGGCCUGAAAAAGCGACAAUGGAAAUAUUCAAGUCAGGAGCAGGGGGAAAGAGGUUGUUCAAAACGGGAGGUCAGUCCCAGAAGGUCAGGGAGAGGGCAGGAAACAGGAGCGAGGUGCUGAUAGAGACUGUGCUUCUCCACAUGGACAGGCUGCCGUGGGGAUGGGGGCGUGGUUGGGGAGACGCGCUUAGGAAGUUGGGGGCACUGGAUCUAACCCAGGGCCUUAUCACGGGCACUGACUGCCCUGUGUUUCCAGGAUGCAGAGGGAGGGAGGCAGAACACUUCCACCCCAUCACUGUACCAAUGAAACAGGAGAGGCUGCGGCGCAGGCUGAGCCAGGCUUAUCCCACGCUGAAGAGCCCUUGGGACUGGGCUGGGGGUCUGCAGUAGGAGCCCCUAAGUCCCACCAAGCUGGUCCAACAUGCCCGGAUUAAGGAUCCCCCACCCCUUUGUCCCCCUGGGAUCCCUGCAGGGGACAGGAAGUAAAAGGUGGACAGGAGGCGCCCUGCCAGCCUAAGUGACUCCCUCCAGGUUUGAGUUCCCUGAGGGCAUGGCCCCCAUCUGCCUAGGUCACUCUCCACCCACAGGACAGGCACAGGGCCUCAAACAGUGCAUGUAUACGUGAAAGAAACCCGGCCCAAAACUGACUUGAGGAGACCGAGCUGACCCAGUCGGCCUGCCUGGGAGGGCCGCUCCUCUGCUUGGCCUCCCUUCUCUCCUGGGUCCUGAAAUCCUGAUGCUGGUUUGCACUUGUCCUCCGGAGUUCAACGCCAUAGGAGGGCCUUGCAGUACCUCCUAGAGGCCACAGGGGGGAGAGCGCGGGGCCCUCCCAGGGAGGACGCUCCGUCCUCGCUGCACAGAGAGCUUCCCGGAGCGUGGGUGGGGGUGGAAACCCGUGGGGAGCUGAAGUCUCCUCAGCCCAGUCACUGAGGCACCGGGGGAGACGCGGAGAUCCCGUUCUUCCACAACGCCCUAGAAGGAGCCCCUGCUCGGAACCUACCACCAGCUUCUCAUUAGCCCUGGAAUAAAAUCCCCAUUCCUCACUACGGCUCUAUGCGAUGGGCCUGGCCUCCCUCUCUAACGUCCCUCUGGGCCUACUGGCACAGGCCAUCAGGGAACAUGGGCGGCUGUUACCAAGGUCUUCAGAAAGCCAGAGCUUCAUCUGCUUUUAGGACUAAUUUCAAAUGUCCCUCCCUGGGCCACCUUUUAAAAUUUGUAUUUUAAUAGAGACGGGGUCUUGCCAUGUUGCCCAGGCUGGUCUGGAACUCCUGGGCUUGAGUGAUCCUCCUGCCUCAGCCCCCUAAAGUGCUGGGACUACAGGUGCGAGCCACCGCACUCGGCCCUCAGGCCAUCGACCAAGGAAACCCUGUCAGCAUCAUAUGGCCCCGUUUUCUUCGCAGCACCUGUCCUUCUCUGAAGUCAUCUUGUUUGCGUAUCUAUUUUUGGUUACAUUAUGAUGUCUCCUUCGCUAGGACAUGGGAUCUGUAGGGCAGGUCUUUUGUCCAUCUACAGCCCCCAGUACCAAGAGCCAAAUAAAUAUUUACAAAUUA